rnacentral:lncRNA from 10 species
CUCGUCGCAGGUGUCACGGCCCUGGCCCGAGGUUCCUCCGCGGGCGGUUUCCCUGGGAACCAGCGCGAGCCGGAGCUGCGCUCUGUUUCGUCGGGCCCGCGCUCUGUUUCGUCGGGCCCGCGCUCUGUUUCGCCGGGCCCGAGAGGCGGCCUCAGGUUAACUUCAAGCAUGUUGGGCUCUCCAGGAGGGAGAAGAGGCACCUUUGCCGUGGGUUGAGGACUCCUAGAACCAACCUGAGACUCCGCGGCCAUAUACACCUUACGACGUGUGUGUGUGUGGCGGGAGAUGGGAGGGGAGGAAUCCUGUAGAACCCAGAUCCCAUCAUUCCAGCAACUGCCAGAGCGUUCGAGAAUGUCAUGUCUGUACCUGUCUUCUCUCAUCUUUUGUGCCAACUGUUUUAUCAAACUUCUACCCCACUUUAGGUCUUCCAGUAGAUACCUGAAACCCUGAACUACAAUAUAUGUGAAAUACAGUGAAUGGCAGAAAUACUUUGAUAAAAGAUGUAAAUGCCUACCGACUGCAGAAGACAACAUCAACAAAGCACACUUCACAAAAAGUACAACACAAAUAUACUGCCCAGGUUCUAAAACAUGUAUAAGAGUUAACAAAAUCAGCUGAGGUUGAGCAGAAAUUGUAUAGGAAAAAAUAGGAAAAACACAGAGACCAAUCUCAGCUGCAAGAAGGUUCAGCUAGACACUGCAAGCAAAAGUAUAACUCCUGAAGGUCACUUUGAGAAGAUGAGGUAUCAACAGCCACUACUAUUAGGCAAGGUACAAGUAUCACAACACUAGUGCCAUCUGAGAAUCCAUGUCAACCCUUAGCUAAGGAAGUAGCUCCCAACCUGGAGAUCUCUGGGUCCUUGAGGACUCUUAAAGUAGUUAUGGAGCUCAUUGAACUAUUUUCAACAUUUCAAAAAGAUAUCACGUAGCAAUUGUACAUCCAUCCUUAAUAAAACUGCACAAGCAAACUGAAAUGUUAUGUUUUCUAGCUUUGAGUUGAUGUAAUAUGAACUCAAUGCCGACCAGAAGUGUGAUAGGUGGUUUUAUACAACUUUGAUUAAUAAAGAAACGUGCAUCAUUUUAAAGAGAAAUGAACCCAAGUGUAGAUUCCAAGAAUAGGCAAGUUCUAGGUCUUUCUCAAUUGUAGACAGUCACUGAAUCUAGGAGGUACUGUUUAUAAUUUACAAAAUUAUUUUACCACUAAAAAUCACAAAAUAUAUUCCAUUAUUAGGAUAUCAUAACUAAAAGAUAGAUAUUGCUGUUUGUUUACCUGGAAUUAUUGACUAUGUGAUAAAUAAUCAACAGUGUAACAUGUUUACAUCAAAAACAUUAAAUAAUAUCAUGUAAAAUAGAAACAUAUUGUUCUGGUUCUAAAUUUAGUGGUCAGAUUAGAUUUUUUUUUAAGAGUCUGGAAGCACUCUUUGGUUCACUCAACAUUACUAGUCAAGCACCUUUCAGGGCUGGAUUACAUAGAAUUUUGUCCUGUCUAUUUGGUCUGAUCAAUUUUUAAACAGUUU